AUUGAACGCUGGCGGCAGGCCUAACACAUGCAAGUCGAACGGUAGCACAGAGAGCUUGCUCUCGGGUGACGAGUGGCGGACGGGUGAGUAACGUCUGGGAAACUGCCCGAUGGAGGGGGAUAACUACUGGAAACGGUAGCUAAUACCGCAUAACGUCGCAAGACCAAAGUGGGGGACCUUCGGGCCUCACACCAUCGGAUGUGCCCAGAUGGGAUUAGCUAGUAGGUGGGGUAAUGGCUCACCUAGGCGACGAUCCCGAGCUGGUCUGAGAGGAUGACCAGCCACACUGGAACUGAGAACCGGUCCAGACUCCUACGGGAGGCAGCAGGGGGGAAUAUUGCACAAUGGGCGCAAGCCUGAUGCAGCCAUGCCGCGUGUAUGAGGAAGGCCUUCGGGUUGUAAAGUACUUUCAGCGGGGAGGAAGGCGGUGAAGUUAAUAACUUCACCGAUUGACGUUACCCGCAGAAGAAGCACCGGCUAACUCCGUGCCAGCAGCCGCCGUAA
rnacentral:rRNA from 1 species